rnacentral:misc_RNA from 1 species
GAUGAAGAACGCAGCGAAAUGCGAUAAGUAAUGUGAAUUGCAGAAUUCAGUGAAUCAUCGAAUCUUUGAACGCACAUUGCGCCCGCCAGCAUUCUGGCGGGCAUGCCUGUUCGAGCGUCAUUUCAACCCUCGAGCCCCCCCGGGGGCCUCGGUGUUGGGGGACGGCACACCAGCCGCCCCCGAAAUGCAGUGGCGACCCCGCCGCAGCCUCCCCUGCGUAGUAGCACACACCUCGCACCGGAGCGCGGAGGCGGUCACGCCGUAAAACGCCCAACUUUCUUAGAGUUGACCUCGGAUCAGGUAGGAAUACCCGCUGAACUUAAGCAUAUCAAUAAGCGGAGGG